rnacentral:rRNA from 1 species
AAAUUGAAGAGUUUGAUCAUGGCUCAGAUUGAACGCUGGCGGCAGGCCUAACACAUGCAAGUCGAACGGUAACAGAAAGCAGCUUGCUGCUUUGCUGACGAGUGGCGGACGGGUGAGUAAUGUCUGGGAAACUGCCCGAUGGAGGGGGAUAACUACUGGAAACGGUAGCUAAUACCGCAUAACGUCGCAAGACCAAAGAGGGGGACCUUCGGGCCUCUUGCCAUCGGAUGUGCCCAGAUGGGAUUAGCUAGUAGGUGGGGUAACGGCUCACCUAGGCGACGAUCCCUAGCUGGUCUGAGAGGAUGACCAGCCACACUGGAACUGAGACACGGUCCAGACUCCUACGGGAGGCAGCAGUGGGGAAUAUUGCACAAUGGGCGCAAGCCUGAUG